rnacentral:rRNA from 1 species
AUAAUGGGUCAGCGACUUAUAUUCUGUAGCAAGGUUAACCGAAUAGGGGAGCCGAAGGGAAACCGAGUCUUAACUGGGCGUUAAGUUGCAGGGUAUAGACCCGAAACCCGGUGAUCUAGCCAUGGGCAGGUUGAAGGUUGGGUAACACUAACUGGAGGACCGAACCGACUAAUGUUGAAAAAUUAGCGGAUGACUUGUGGCUGGGGGUGAAAGGCCAAUCAAACCGGGAGAUAGCUGGUUCUCCCCGAAAGCUAUUUAGGUAGCGCCUCGUGAAUUCAUCUCCGGGGGUAGAGCACUGUUUCGGCAAGGGGGUCAUCCCGACUUACCAACCCGAUGCAAACUGCGAAUACCGGAGAAUGUUAUCACGGGAGACACACGGCGGGUGCUAACGUCCGUCGUGAAGAGGGAAACAACCCAGACCGCCAGCUAAGGUCCCAAAGUCAUGGUUAAGUGGGAAACGAUGUGGGAAGGCCCAGACAGCCAGGAUGUUGGCUUAGAAGCAGCCAUCAUUUAAAGAAAGCGUAAUAGCUCACUGGUCGAGUCGGCCUGCGCGGAAGAUGUAACGGGGCUAAACCAUGCACCGAAGCUGCGGCAGCGACGCUGAUGCGUUGUUGGGUAGGGGAGCGUUCUGUAAGCCUGUGAAGGUGUGCUGUGAGGCAUGCUGGAGGUAUCAGAAGUGCGAAUGCUGACAUAAGUAACGAUAAAGCGGGUGAAAAGCCCGCUCGCCGGAAGACCAAGGGUUCCUGUCCAACGUUAAUCGGGGCAGGGUGAGUCGACCCCUAAGGCGAGGCCGAAAGGCGUAGUCGAUGGGAAACAGGUUAAUAUUCCUGUACUUGGUGUUACUGCGAAGGGGGGACGGAGAAGGCUAUGUUGGCCGGGCGACGGUUGUCCCGGUUUAAGCGUGUAGGCUGGUUUUCCAGGCAAAUCCGGAAAAUCAAGGCUGAGGCGUGAUGACGAGGCACUACGGUGCUGAAGCAACAAAUGCCCUGCUUCCAGGAAAAGCCUCUAAGCAUCAGGUAACAUCAAAUCGUACCCCAAACCGACACAGGUGGUCAGGUAGAGAAUACCAAGGCGCUUGAGAGAACUCGGGUGAAGGAACUAGGCAAAAUGGUGCCGUAACUUCGGGAGAAGGCACGCUGAUAUGUAGGUGAAGUCCCUCGCGGAUGGAGCUGAAAUCAGUCGAAGAUACCAGCUGGCUGCAACUGUUUAUUAAAAACACAGCACUGUGCAAACACGAAAGUGGACGUAUACGGUGUGACGCCUGCCCGGUGCCGGAAGGUUAAUUGAUGGGGUCAGCGCAAGCGAAGCUCUUGAUCGAAGCCCCGGUAAACGGCGGCCGUAACUAUAACGGUCCUAAGGUAGCGAAAUUCCUUGUCGGGUAAGUUCCGACCUGCACGAAUGGCGUAAUGAUGGCCAGGCUGUCUCCACCCGAGACUCAGUGAAAUUGAACUCGCUGUGAAGAUGCAGUGUACCCGCGGCAAGACGGAAAGACCCCGUGAACCUUUACUAUAGCUUGACACUGAACAUUGAGCCUUGAUGUGUAGGAUAGGUGGGAGGCUUUGAAGUGUGGACGCCAGUCUGCAUGGAGCCGGCCUUGAAAUACCACCCUUUAAUGUUUGAUGUUCUAACGUUGACCCGUGAUCCGGGUUGCGGACAGUGUCUGGUGGGUAGUUUGACUGGGGCGGUCUCCUCCUAAAGAGUAACGGAGGAGCACGAAGGUUGGCUAAUCCUGGUCGGACAUCAGGAGGUUAGUGCAAUGGCAUAAGCCAGCUUGACUGCGAGCGUGACGGCGCGAGCAGGUGCGAAAGCAGGUCAUAGUGAUCCGGUGGUUCUGAAUGGAAGGGCCAUCGCUCAACGGAUAAAAGGUACUCCGGGGAUAACAGGCUGAUACCGCCCAAGAGUUCAUAUCGACGGCGGUGUUUGGCACCUCGAUGUCGGCUCAUCACAUCCUGGGGCUGAAGUAGGUCCCAAGGGUAUGGCUGUUCGCCAUUUAAAGUGGUACGCGAGCUGGGUUUAGAACGUCGUGAGACAGUUCGGUCCCUAUCUGCCGUG